rnacentral:rRNA from 1 species
CCAGACUCCUACGGGAGGCAGCAGUGAGGAAUAUUGGUCAAUGGGCGCGAGCCUGAACCAGCCAAGUCGCGUGAGGGAGGACGGCCCUACGGGUUGUAAACCUCUUUUGCCGGGGAGCAACGGGCGUCACGUGUGGCGCCACUGAGAGUACCCGGAGAAAAAGCAUCGGCUAACUCCGUGCCAGCAGCCGCGGUAAUACGGAGGGAGCGAGCGUUGUCCGGAAUUACUGGGUGUAAAGGGAGCGUAGGCGGGACUGCAAGUUGGGUGUCAAAUCUACCGGCUCAACCGGUAGCCGCACUCAAAACUGCAGUUCUUGAGUGAAGUAGAGGCAGGCGGAAUUCCUAGUGUAGCGGUGAAAUGCGUAGAUAUUAGGAGGAACACCAGUGGCGAAGGCGGCCUGCUGGGCUUUUACUGACGCUGAGGCUCGAAAGUGUGGGGAGCAAACAGGAUUAGAUACCCUAGUA